rnacentral:rRNA from 1 species
CCUACGGGAGGCUGCAGUGGGGAAUAUUGCACAAUGGGCGAAACCCUGAUGCAGCAACGCCGCGUGAAGGAAGAAGGCUUUCGGGAUGUAAACUUCUUUCAGCAGGGAAGAAAAUGACGGUACCUGACUAAGAAGCACCGGCUAACUACGUGCCAGCAGCCGCGGUCAUACGUAGGGGGCCAGCGUUAUCCGGAUUUACUGGGUGUAAAGGGUGCGUAGGCGGAUUAGAAAGACCGAAGUGAAAAACCGGGGCUAAACAUCCGGACUGCUUUUGAAACUGUUGAACUAGAGUGCAGGAGAGGUAAGUGGAAUUCCUAGUGUAGCGGUGAAAUGCGUAGAUAUUAGGAGGAACACCAGUGGCGAAGGCGGCUUACUGGACCGGAACUGACGCUGAGGCUCGAAAGCGUGGGGAGCAAACAGGAUUAGAUACCCCAGUAGUC